UGAGUGUGUUCUUCUUUUUGUUAGGAU
rnacentral:piRNA from 1 species